rnacentral:lncRNA from 1 species
UUCUUCUAGUGCAAAAAAAAAAAAAGAAAACUAGCUUUAUUGAGGUAUUGAGAUAUAGUUCACCCAUUACAGUGUACAAAUCACUGUAUUUGUAUACUCUAUCCUGUAAUUGUAUUAAAAUAAAGUUUACCCAUUUACAAUGUACAAAUCAAUAGAUUUUAGUGUAUUCACAGUUAUGCAACCAUCGUAACAAUCAAUUUUAGAAUAUUUUCAUUACCCUAAGAGACUCCAUACUCAUUAUUAUAUUUUAUAAUAUUUUCAUUACUCUGCAAAGAAACUCCAUACUCAUUCUUAUUUGCUCCUCAUUCCUCUUCAAUGCCGCCAGUCCCCGGCAGCCACUAGUCUACUUUCUGUCUCUGUGUAUUUGUCUACUCUGGACAUUUCAUAUAAUUACAUAAAAGGUGGUCUUUUGUGUUUGGUUUCUAUAAUAUUGUAACACAGUAAGAAACAUAUAUUUGGUCUCUGUCCUUGGUUCCUGGCACUACAGCUCCUGAAACCCUGGGAGUCUCUGGAGAGAAGAGAGUAGCUUUUGUAUGCUAAUGAGAUGACUAGUGGUUGGAAUCUCCUAGAUAGCCUCAGGAUUGUAGGGGUGUGUGGGGCUAGUUGCCAAGGAAACCAACCCAACCAUAUCAUUAGAAGGUGUGAGCUUUCAAACCCCCCAACCUCUCAGGAAGGGAGAGGGGCUGAAGGUUAAGUUGAUCACAAAUGGCCAGUGAUGUAAUCGAUCAUGCCUACAUAAUGAGGCCUCCAUAAAAGUCCCCGAAAACUGGAUUGCUGAACAUGUGGAGGUACCUGGGGGGUGGCACAUCCAGAGAGGGUAUGGAAGAUCUGCAUUCCCUCCCCGAUACCUUGCCCUAUGUAUCUCUUCCAUCUUUCUGUCAAUCUGUAUCUUUUGUAAUAUCCUUUUAAUAAAUGGGUAAAUGUUUCAGGUGUUUCCCUGAGUUCUGUGAACCAGUCUAGCAAAUUAAACCCAAGAAGGAGAUCAUGGGAACCCUAAUUUAUAGCCAAUUGCAGUUAGAAAUUGCAAUUGGUAUCAGAAGUGGGGGGCAGUCUUGUGGGAAUGAGCCCUCGACCUGUGGGAUCUGAUGCUAAGUCCAGGUAAGUAGUGUCAGGGUGGAGUUAAAUUGUAGGACACCCAGUUAGUAUCUGCAAAAGAACUGUGUGGUGUGUGGAGAACCCCCCUACAUAUCUGGUGUCAGAAGUUCCUGUCGAGUGGUGUGUGAAAGUAGGAAAAACACUUUGUUUUUUCCUGUCCCUAUCAGCUUCUUUCACUAAGUAUAAAGUGUUUGAGGUUCACCCACGUUGCAGCACAUAUCAGUGCUUCAUUUAUUUUUACCGCCAAAUGAUAUUUCACCGUAUGGCUAUCCCACAAUUUGUUGAUCUGUUCAUCAGUCGAUGAACAUUUGGGUUGUUUCUUCUUUUUGGCUGUUAUGUAUAAUGCAGCUAUGAAAUUCAUGUACAAUGUUUGUGUGAACAUAUGCUUUCCUUUCUCUUAGGUAUAUACAUAGAAGUAGAAUUUCUGGGUCAUAUGGUAAAUUUAUUUUAAACCUUUCAGGAACUGCCAGACUGUUUUUGGCUGCACCAUUUUACAUUCCUAUCAGCAGAGUGUAAAGGUUCCAAUUUCUUCUCCACAUCCUUACCAACACUUUUUUUUAUUUUUUUUUAAGACAGAAUCUCACUCUGUUGCCAGGCUGGAGUGCAGUGGUGCGAUCUCGGCUCACUGCAACCUCCACCUCCCAGGUUCAAGCAAUUCUUCUGUCUCAGCUUCCUGAGUAGCUGGGCGCGUGCCACCACACCCAGCUAAUUUUUGUAUUUUCAGUAGAGAUGGGGUUUCACCAUGUUGGCCAGGCUGGUCUCGAUCUCUUGACCUCGUGAUCCACCCACCUCGGCCUCCCAAAGUGCUGAGAUUACAGGCAUGAGCCAUCGCGCCCGGCACCAACACCUUUUAUUAUUUGUUGUUUUGAUCAUAGUUAUCCUAGUGUGUGUGAAGAUUUUGAUUUGCAUUUCUGUGGUGACUAAAGAUGUUGAGCGUCUUUUCAUGUGUUUAUUGGUCAUUUAUAUAUCUUCUUUGGAGAAAUGUUUGUUCAGGUCCUUUGCCUACUUUAAAAUUGGGUUAUGUAUAUUUUUAUAAUUGAAUCAUAAGAGUUCUUUUUUUUUCUUUUCUGUUUUUUUGUUUUGUUUUGUUUUUUAUUGUUGUUGUUUUGGGACAGGGUCUCUCUCUGUUACUUAAGCUGGAAUGCUGCAGCCUUGACCUCCCAGGCUCAAUAAAUCCUCCCAUCUCAUCUUCCUGAGUAGCUGGGACUACUGGUGCACAUUACCAUGCCUGGCUAAUUUUUGUAAUUUUUAUAGAGAUGGGGUCACACCAUGUGAAUACAAUACAAUACAAUACAAUCACAGGAUAGAGUAUACAAAUACAGGCUCUUCUCAAAGUCCUGGGCUCAAGCAAUCCCCCUGCCUCAGCCUCCCAAAGUGCUGGGAUUACUGGUGUGAGCCACUGUGCCGGGCCAGAGUUCUUUAUAUGUUUUAGAUACAAGCCUCUUGUUAGAUAUAAUGAUUUGCACAAUUUUUCUCUCAUUUUGUGCGUUGUCUUUUCACUUUCUUAAUGAUAUCCUUUGAAGCACAAAGAUUUUAAUUUUGAAGAUAUCCAAUUUAGCUAUUUUUUUUCUUUAGUUGCUUAUGCUUUUGGAAUUUUAUUCCAGUGUUGUUUUGAAAGCUAUUUUUUUUUCCCAGCUUCCCGUUCAGGGUUAGAAAAAUUGUCUGAUUUCUCUUUCCUGCCCAAAAUUACUUAGAAUAGUAUAAGCUAAUAUUUACCAACCACUUACUAUGUCUCAGGCUCUUGUUAGAGUUCAGACAGCUUGGGUAAUCAGUGCGGGAUCUCAAGGCUAAGGAUGAAUUCAGCUAAUCUCACUCUGGAGCCCAUACUCUUCAAUCGCUUCACUGUGCUACUGAUCAGGUCUUCCUCAUCUUGACUGUUUCAUUUUUGCAGGAGGAAAAUGGUGUAUUUGCUGUUAGUGUUAGACAAGUUAUUCUGCCUACUCUUUGUUCUCUUCCCUUUUCUGAGGUAAGUCCCCUGCCCCACCCUUUCUAGAAUUGCCAGAAUCUACAAACUGUCCAAAACACACAUGUACUCAUCCAAAAAGGCAAAACAACACCCUCAUUCAUGACACAGAAUUCUCAAAGCCCUGGUGUCACAGCUGCAGUCUCUCCCUGACCCUUGCCUCACCCUAACUGUGCUGAGUCUUCUCUUUGGUUGUGAUAGCCUAGGGUGUGACAUCCAGGGACAGCUUUGACACCCUCGGAUGUAAGUGCCAUGCUGUGGCUUGCCUUGGAACCCACAAGAAGGGCCCAGGUUCAAAAUCCUUUAACUGUCAGUUGAAUCAAACAUGAUCAUGUGGAGCAGUACACAACAAAAGCAAGUCAGACUGCCUUCUCAGGUGUUUCCUUUCACUUUGGCAAUAUCGAUGUUUAAACUUCAAGUUUAUUAUUAUUAUUUUAAAUAAGUGAGGUCAGAAUUACCCAACAGGAGCCCAAGAACUUCUUACCCCGCACUGCAACCCCCCAUUCUGCAGUAUCCAAUUACCUAUGAAAUCCAUUUGCAUCUACUUCAGAAAUAUCUCUCAGCCUCCCUCUCCCAUUGAAUCUUUCCUGCCACUGCAUCAGUUCAGAUCUCUAUCAUCUCUUAGGUGGACUAAUUCAUCUCAUUUCUGUCUUUUUUUUUUUUUUUUUCUUUAGACAGGUCUCACUCUGUCACCCAGGCUGGAGUACAGUGGCCUGAUCAUGCUGAUUGCAGCCUCAACCUCCUGGGCCCAAGCAAUCCUCCUGCCUCAGUCUCCUGAGUAGCUGGGACUACAGAUGCAUGCCACCAUAGCUGGCUAAAUUUUUUGUAGAGACAGGGUCUCACUAUGUUGCUGAGGCUGGUCUCAAACUCCUGGGCUCAAGCAAUCCUCCUGCCUCAGCUUACCAAAUAGCUGGGGCUACAGGUGCAUACUGUUGUGCCUGGCUCAUUUUUUUUUUUUAGUUUUUGUAGAGACGGGGUCUCACUAUGUUGACCAGUCUUUGUUUCUCAGUCUUUUCUUCAAUCCAAUUGAAUUAAAUUGAAUUAUCUCUUCAUGGUUGUCUUCCUCAGUAGAUUAUGAGGCUGAGGCAGGAGAAUCACUUGAACCCGGGAGGCAGAGUUUGCAGUGAGCAGAGAUCUUGCCACUGUACUACAGCCUGGGCGACAGAGUGAGACUCUGUCUCAAGAAGAAAAAAAAAAAGAAAAGAGUCUGCCACCUAAAGGCAUUUAAUUAGCAUUUGUGAAAGAAAUAGUAGUCCAGUUGGUAAUUUCCCCACUGCUUGCAAGACCUCACAAAAGGCCUUGUAAUAAAAACAAUUAAAUCUCAUGUGACCCAGGUGUGUCAGGAAUGCCUUCCUAUUCUGCUAUGUGGAUGAGUUUUGCUAGUUUUCAAGGUUUAGUCAAGGCAAAGGAGAUAGCUUGUCUCCUACGAUUAGCGAGUCAUCUGCUAGCCUGUGGAGGGACAAACAGGUACGAUACUCCUUCGUCACUCAUCACAAUGGUCAUGGCAGACACUUCUAUAACAAAAGACAAGUUAGCAAGAGAAAAGCAUGACAAAUUUAUUUAACAAAGUUUUAAAUGACAUGGGAGACUUCAGAAAUGAAGAACCAAAGACCCAGGAAAAGCUGGGUAUUCUUAUGCUUAGGUUUGCUGACAAAUGGACAGUCACGUAGAAAUGAGAUUGGACAACAAGGGUAUGCUGCAAUAAUGGUAAUCAACUGAGGGGAAUGCAGCAAGGCCUGUCUGUUCUGCUUCUUCUUGGCCCCCUAUGUAGCUCUGGGUAUAGCACAAGACACUUGUCACAUGAAGGUCUUCAGGGAAGAGGGGAGAAUGUCAGAGAGUGACAUUUCUAGGUUUUAUGGCCUGCUUCAGGGGAGAGGAGUUAGAAUUUCUAUGACCCAUCUUGAGGAAGACUUAUUCUGGUUUUAUGAGUUGCUUCAGGGGAGAAAGAGAGUCUGGAGAUAGGAGGGUGGGAGAAGGUCGGAAAUAUGUUGCUUCUGAGGCCCUUGCAAUCUCCUUCAGUUCAAAGUACUCAGCAUGCCAAAGCACCACACUUUAGGGCACUGUGUUUUGAGCCCCAACACCAGUAAACUCCUCCUUAUCUUAGUUAUGGGGGGGAGUCUGGCCUGUAACCCUCUCGGACCCAUCUCUGCUAGGGACCACCAACUGAUCAGGAUAUUUGUUUCUCAAACACAUAUGCAUCCAUUUCCGCAAGCUCAAACACCCUCUGGACACUAAUCUUUUCCAAAAAAAUGUAGAUAAGCAUUGCAAAAUCAUUCGGAAGAGGAGGACCAACAGUUAUAACCCUCUCUGAGUAACCUGCUCCCUACGACCAUAUGAGGAAAGGAGGUGAGCAGACGGGACAAGGACUCACAAUUUAGACCUUUACAAGAUAUCCCAAAUGGCUGUUACCUUGCUCUCUGUCUCCUCAGGUUUCUGCUGUCCUCCUCUUCGAUCUUCCCUCUGAGAUUCCUUUUCUAAUGAUCCCAUCCCUUUGCCUCAGAAAUCAGUCCCAUUCUCAAAAAGAGAAAGUGGUCCCAGUUGCUGCUGUCUCUUCUUAUGAAGUGCAAAGAUGAAUGCCUUGGGCUUCUGCUGAGUGUUAAAGGCAGAUUCCCUUGGCUUAUCCUUCUGCUGACUCUAAAGUGGGAGGAAUGUGGCUACCCCUGUAGUGGAACUUCUUGAAAUGCUUUUCCCCCUUGGGCAGUGAGGGCUGAUGGCUGAGGCCAAUUUCCUCCUGAAAUACCUAAGGACAAAUAUUUCCCCAUAAUCAGUAUUGCUCAUCUUUCAAAGACAAUGGGGGUCAGUAACACAGGAGCAAAGUAUUUUUCAGGCUUUUUAAAUUUUUGGAGCUGAAAUAUCACUAUGUUGCCCAGAACGGCCUCCAACUCCUGGGCUCAAGUGAUUCUCCUGCCUCAGCCUCCUGAGUAGCUGGGAUGACAGGCAUGUACUCUAGCCCCAUGCCUGGGUUUUUUUUUUUUUUCCCAGCAUAUUAAUAUGUUCUUCACUUCACCCUAUUAUAUCAUUGUGGUAAAGGAGUUUCUGUUGUCUUCCUGGCCCUUUUCAGUUCAAAAGUCUGUCAGUUGAGAAUGUUUGUUUACUUCCUACCACAGAGUUUUUUUUAUCCUAAAAGCUCUCCCUAGAUGGAGUGGGGGUGGGGAGGAUCUCCCUUAUCCUGCCAAGCAAACUAAAUAGAAACUUGAAAGUUUACAUAUAACUGGAGUGGGGUGGCUCAGAUGCCUGUAAACCCAGCACUUUGGGAGGCUGAGAUGAGAGGAUUGCUUGAAGCCAGGAGUUCAAAACCAGCCUAUGCAACAUAGCGAGACCCUGUUUUUUCCAAAAAAGACAGAAAGAAAGAAAUUAGCUAGGUGUGGUGGCACACACCUGUAGUCCCAGCUCCUCAGGAGGCUAAGGCAGGUGGAUCGCUUGAGUCCAGGAGUUCAAGGUUACAGUGAGCUAUGAUCAUGCCACUGUACUCCAGCUUGGGUGACAGAACAAGAUCCUGUCUUUCUCUAAAAUAAAAAUAAAAUAAAGUAAAAUAAAAACAAUAAAUAAUUUUUAAAAAAUUUUAAAGAAGUUUGCAUACAGAAUUAGCAAGAUAAUUAUAAAGGCUAUGUUUAUGGAUUUGUAAUUGCCUAACAGGUUCUUACCCACUGCACAGGUAAAUGCAAUUCACUGAGACAGUAUUAUUGCAGUAAAGAGUUUAAUUAACACAAGGCCAGCCAAGCAGAACUGAAGUUAUUACUCAAAUCAGUCUCCCCAGCAACUCAGAGGCCAGGGUUUUUAUGGAUAAUUUGGUGGGUAGGGAGCAAGGGAAGGGGUGCUGCUCAUAGGUUAGGAAUGAAAUCACAGGGGUGUGGAAAACAAUUACGUGCACUGAGUCAGCCUCUGGGUGGGGCCACAGGACUGGCUGAAGCCUGAGCCUCAGGUCUGGGUGAGGUCAAUCAGUUGCCAGAAUGUAAAAAUCUGAAAAGUAUCUCAAAAGACCAAUUUUAGGUUCUACAUUAGUGAUGUUAUCUACAUGAGCAACUGGGGAAGUCACAAAUCUUGUGACCACAUGACUCUGACCACAUGACUCCUGAGCAGUAAGGAUUAUAUAAAAUAUGCCUGUAGUUUAGCAGAAUUCAGGCCCCUCCCAUAAUCUUAAUCUUGUGGUCUCUCAGUCUUACAAAGGUGGUUUCAGUCUGUUAAUAAAGAGAUUACUUUUAGAAAAGGACUAUUAUCAUCUUGCUUUAAAGUUAAACUAUAGGCUGGGAGUGGUGGCUCAUGCCUGUAAUCUCAAGCACUUUGGGAGGCCGAGAUGGGAGUAUGGCUUGAGACCAGCAGUUUGAGACCAGCCUGGUCAACAUAGCAAGACCUCAUCCCUAUUUAGUUAAAAAAAAAAAAAAAAAGGUAAACUAUGACUAUAUGACUAAAUUCCUCCCAUGGUUAGCUUGGUCUAUGCCCAGCAAUGAGGAAAGACAGCCAGGCUGUGAGGCUAGAAGCAAGAUGGAGUCAGCCAUGCUAGACUGGUCUCGCUAUCAUAAUCUCUGCAAAGGUGGUUUCAGAUUCAGGGCCUUGCUCUACAAAAUGUCCUUAAAAAUAUGAUGCCUUCAAUUUCAGAGGAAAUAGUGAGAUUUCUAAACAACAUGUGACUUUUUGCCUAGGAGCUAAAAGCUUUCAACUCCUCUUCUUCC